rnacentral:rRNA from 1 species
UACGAAGGGGGCUAGCGUUGCUCGGAAUCACUGGGCGUAAAGGGUGCGUAGGCGGGUCUUUAAGUCAGGGGUGAAAUCCUGGAGCUCAACUCCAGAACUGCCUUUGAUACUGAGGAUCUUGAGUUCGGGAGAGGUGAGUGGAACUGCGAGUGUAGAGGUGAAAUUCGUAGAUAUUAGGAAGAACACCAGUGGCGAAGGCGGCUCACUGGUCCGGUACUGACGCUGAGGCGCGAGAGCGCGGGGAGCGAACGGG